CCCGGGCAAUGAUUAUGAUGAGAUUAUACUCCAAUAGCCAGCAAAGAUACAAGAACAGAAGGCAAUAGAAGCUGAUGCAAUAGCAAUAUUCAAGAGGGAUAUAGAUACAGACAUGAACAGACUACUCUAGGGUAGAGAAAGGCAUCUAGGAUUCCAAAUAUGUCGAUGCACCAUCAACAACUCUCGGAGAUGGGAGGCAAACGAUAGGCUUUUAUUAGCUGCAAGAGACCACCAGACAACAUCCUGGAGACUGAGGGAGGAGCAGUGCCUCCAACUGCCUUUAUACAGGGGCCUGUGGGAGAAGCCACAGGAGCAGUCAACAGAGGGGCAUAUCCAGACAGAUAUGGACAGCUCCUGGAAUUCUCUGCCCAGAAACUUUUGCAGCAAAUAUAGAGUAGGCAAUCACAAACUAUGUCUAUUAAUGGAAUAUAUACCCAAUAUUACGUAGGCCAUAUUUGUUAUAUUUCCUUCAUAUUCCUUUAUAAAAUUGAUUGUAGAUGCAAAAUUGAGUGAUCAAGUGUAUCCAAAAUUACAAUGGGAAUGGCAGAUGGAGCUUAAUUCAGAUAAAUGUGAGGUGUUGCAAUUUGGUAAGAGAAACUAGAGCAGGACUUUCACAGUAAUAAGUAGGGUCCCGGGGUGUGUUGUGCAACAAUGAGACCUAAGAGUGUAGCUACCUAUUUCCUUGAAAGUGGCAGUACAAGUGGACAGAUUGGCAGGGGAAAUGUUUGGCAUGCUUGUAUACAUUAGUCACGAAACAGAGUGCAUGAAUUGGAAUGUUAUGCAGAAGACAAUAGUAAAGUCCCAUUUGGAAUGCUAUGUAUACAGUAGUUCUGGUUGCACUCUUAUAGGAAGGACAUAAUUAAACUACAAGGGGUGCGUAAAUGAUUUAUGAAGAUAGUAUCAGGACUGGCUGACUCAAAUUAGAUAACAAGGCUGGAUAGGCUGGGGCAUAGGUGUGGUGAACUACAUAUACCUGUCUGGACAUGCCCCCCACCCCCCGCUGACUGCUCUGUGGCUGUUCCCACAGACCCCUGUAUAAAGGCGAUUGGAGGCACUGCUCCUCCCUCAGUCUCCAGGAUGUUGUGUGAUGGUCUCUUGCUGCUGACUGCUCUCUUCCAGCUAAUAAAAGCCUAUAUCUCACCUCACAUCUCCAAGAGUUAUUGAUGGUGCAUCAGUAGGAAACUAAGGUGUGACUUUAUGUUGAUUUAUAAAAUGAGAGGCAUACAUCAGGUGAAGAGCCUUGGUCUUUUCUGCAGGGCAAGGGAUUUAAAAACGAGAGCACAUAGGUUUAAAGUGAGUGGUGAAAGAUUUAAAAGGGAGCUGAGGAGUGGGUGUAAAACUGAGGGUUGAGUGUAUAUGGAAUGUGCUACUAGAGGAAUUGGUAGGGGAGGGUACAGGUACAACAUUUAAAAGAUAUUUGGACAGGUUCAUGGAUAGGUUGGUGGUGGGAUGGAGUCACACCUCUACCAAAAGAGGUGUAAAGGCACUCCUUCCCUCCGCUAGCUUACCGGUCACCCUUGGGCAAGGUGUAGCACCUGCUUAGCCCUCUGAUCGGGAACAUGUGAAGUCAUAGGAGCAGGUGGUGGAUGGUCAGAUGAGCAGUUGGUGCAUAUCACAAGUCCUGGUUACGUGACCACUGACGUCAGACAGAUAAUCUCUGAAAAGUAUUGAUAACGGCUGGGGCCACGAGUCUUAUUAAAGCACUGCCCAGAAGAAGACAAUAGCAAACCCUCUUCUGCAGAAAAAUUUGCCAAGAAUAGCCAUGGUCAUGGAAAGACUAUUAUCACCCAUAUCAUACAAGAUGUCACACAACAAGCAAAUGAACAUGGAUAGGAAAGGUUUAAAUACAGGACCAAAUUUGGGAAAAUGGAACUAACUCAUUUAAGUAAGGACCAUUUGGGCAAAAGGGCCUAUUUCAUGUGGAAUAAUCUAUUACCCCAAUGCCCUUUCCCAGGGCAGCAAUGGCCUUUACUAGAGGGCAUAUUUAUAAUAUGAUUUGAGGACUGUAUAGGGGGAAGUCAGAGAUAGUUUUUUUUUACACAGAGAGUGGUAAGUGAAUGGGAUGCAUUGCCAAGGGCGCUGGUGGAGAGAAACAGUAGGGACAUUCAGAUAGGCACAUGGAUGAAAGAGAAAUGGAAGACAUUGGGGAAGGGAAGAGUUAAAUGAAUCUUGGAGUAGGUUAAAAGGUCGGCACAGCAUUGUGGGUUGAAUAGCCUGUACUGUGUGGUAUUGUUCUAUGUUCUAUGAGUCUACGUAGAAAAUGUGUUGGAUGCCACUGGUCUGUUGACAAGUCAGAGUCCUGACCACAUAAGAAUUGAUGUCAAAUUCAUCUCUUUUUGAACCUGUCCUUGAUUUUGUUACAAUAUACAAUAAAAACUCUACCUUCUGUUGUCCCUGUUCAAUUAAAGAGUUCCCAGAUCUAAUAUGACUGAUCACAAUGCAAAGCUGAACUUUAGAACUGGCUCAGCUAUGAAGCAAGAUCUACUACUAUGUUGACUCAGGCCUAGGGGGCCGGCAUUGGGCAUGAUGAUGGACUCUCCACUCCUCCCUCUCCCUCAUCAGUGUGUUCAGUUCAUCUAUGUUAGCCACGCCACUGUCUUCUAGGAGUGUGUGUUGACCAUAGUCUUGGGAGGGCACCCAGUGUUUAUCCACCCAUACUUGGGCUCCCAUGUGAUGACUAGGCUGGCAGGUAGCUCAGGUGGCGUAGACAGUGCCCUGCUAGUUGCGGUCUUCUCGCAUCGGUGAGUCAUCAUAGAGUUCAACGUUCGUCAUGUGCUGUUGCAAACACAUGUCAAGAGCCAUCCGGAGCAUUUGUGUAUAGCAACCAUCUAGUGACUUUCACAUAGUCUUGGUGAGUGUCCACAUCUCACAUCUGUACGGGAGAAUGAACUCUAUGACUGCUAUGAAGAUCCUCCUUUUGAGCCCUCUAGUCAAGUUCUAUCUCCAGAUUUCCUUCAUGUCGUUCAUAGCCCUCCAUGCCAGUGCUUUCCAUAUCUUUAUGUCCUUCUCUGAACUCAUCAUUCUUGACCCGAGGUACUUGAAGUCUAAGACUUUCUUAAUGGUAUCAUUCUUUAAAGUCUUGAGAGUACCUUCCUAAGAAUGCUGGCUUCUUGCUAAAGCAAGCAAUUGUAAGAAGAACAAAUAGAAUUAUUAGGAAA